AAUUUGAUAGCCACAUUAUUCUAAUACCGUAGGCUUUCAUGAUAGGCGUCGUUCCAAUAUAAAGGGAAGAGGUGUUUUGAAAGUUAUACAAAGUCGAUCCCUUACGAUUUCUCAGGCGAUAUCUUCUACAGCAUGCCGGUUAAAGUAGUCGUCACCUACUGUGGUGGAUGAGGUUACAGGCCAAAGUUCCAAAAGUUGCAACAUGAGCUUGUCAGCGAGUUUGGCAACGAUGUCGAUGUGAAAGGAGUUGGAACCCCUGAGAUAACUGGGUACCUUGAGGUGGAAGUUAAUGGAAAACUUGUUCAUUCAAAGAAG